CAUCUGUCCACAGAAUAUUUUGCCAGUACUGCUGUGGAACAUCCAGGUGCUCUUGUGCAAACUGUAAAUGUGCAGCAGUGUUUUGUUUGGACAGCAGUGGCUUCCUCUGUGGUAUCCUCCCAUGAAAUCCAUUCUUGUUUAGUGUUUUAAGUAUUGUAGAUUCGCUAACAGGGAUGUUAGCAUUUGCCAGUGACUUUUGUAAGUCUUUAGCUGACACUCUAG
rnacentral:lncRNA from 1 species